GUUCUCACAUCAUCAGGACAUAUAUUAAAAUCGGAACAACACAGAGAUUAGUAUAGCUCCUGCACAACAGUGACACACAAAUUUGUGAAGCAUUCCAUAUUUUU
rnacentral:snRNA from 1 species